rnacentral:rRNA from 1 species
GUAGCUGGUCUGAGAGGAUGRCCAGCCACACUGGAACUGAGACACGGUCCAGACUCCUACGGGAGGCAGCAGUGGGGAAUAUUGGACAAUGGGGGCAACCCUGAUCCAGCAAUGCCGCGUGUGUGAAGAAGGCCUGAGGGUUGUAAAGCACUUUCAGUGGGGAGGAGGGUUGAUAGGUUAAGAGCURAUUAAUUGGACGUUACCCACAGAAGAAGCACCGGCUAACUCCGUGCCAGCAGCCGCGGUAAUACGGAGGGUGCGAGCGUUAAUCGGAAUUACUGGGCGUAAAGGGUGCGUAGGUGGUUUAUUAAGUUAUCUGUGAAAUCCCUGGGCUUAACCUGGGCAGGUCAGAUAARACUGKUWGACUCGAGUAUGG